CCUACGGGUCGCACCAGUGGGGAAUUUUGGACAAUGGGCGCAAGCCUGAUCCAGCCAUGCCGCGUGCAGGAUGAAGGCCUUCGGGUUGUAAACUGCUUUUGUACGGAACGAAAAGGUUCUUUCUAAUAAAGAGAGCCCAUGACGGUACCGUAAGAAUAAGCACCGGCUAACUACGUGCCAGCAGCCGCGGUAAUACGUAGGGUGCAAGCGUUAAUCGGAAUUACUGGGCGUAAAGCGUGCGCAGGCGGUUAUGUAAGACGGAUGUGAAAUCCCCGGGCUCAACCUGGGAACUGCAUUUGUGACUGCAUAGCUAGAGUACGGCAGAGGGGGAUGGAAUUCCGCGUGUAGCAGUGAAAUGCGUAGAUAUGCGGAGGAACACCGAUGGCGAAGGCAAUCCCCUGGGCCUGUACUGACGCUCAUGCACGAAAGCGUGGGGAGCAAACAGGAUUAGAUACCCUUGUAGUC
rnacentral:rRNA from 1 species